AGGGCACCACUAGGAGUGGAGCCUGCGGCUUAAUUUGACUCAACACGGGAAAACUCACCCGGCCCGGACACUGGAAGGAUUGACAGAUUGAGAGCUCUUUCUUGAUUCAGUGGGUGGUGGUGCAUGGCCGUUCUUAGUUGGUGGAGCGAUUUGUCUGGUUAAUUCCGAUAACGAACGAGACUCUAGCCUACUAAAUAGAUCGUCGGCUUACAAACGCUGAUGAGACUUCUUAGAGGGGCAGGGGGCGAUUCAGCCGCACGAAACAGAGCAAUAACAGGUCUGUGAUGCCCUUAGAUGUCCGGGGCCGCACGCGCGCUACACUGAAGUGAUCAGCGUGCAUUUUCAGCCUACUCUGCCAAGAGAGGGAAACCCAAUGAACCUUCUUCGUGAUUGGGAUAGGAGAUUGUAAUUAUCCUCCUUGAACGAGGAAUUCCCAGUAAGCGCGAGUCAUAAGCUCGCGUUGAUUACGUCCCUGCCCUUUGUACACACCGCCCGUCGCUACUACCGAUUGAAUGUUUU
rnacentral:rRNA from 1 species